rnacentral:rRNA from 1 species
UACGUAGGGUGCAAGCGUUGUCCGGAAUUAUUGGGCGUAAAGAGCUCGUAGGCGGUUUGUCGCGUCUGCUGUGAAAACUCGGGGCUUAACUCCGGGCCUGCAGUGGGUACGGGCAGACUAGAGUGCGGUAGGGGAGACUGGAAUUCCUGGUGUAGCGGUGAAAUGCGCAGAUAUCUGGGGGAAGGCCGGCGGCGAAGGCGCUUUUCUGGUUAGUACCUGACACUGAGGCACGAAAGCGUGGGGAGCAAACAGG